UUUCAGGUAUGCCAUUCUUUGGGAGGAGGAACGGGUUCCGGAAUGGGAACGUUGUUGAUAUCGAAGAUACGAGAGGAGUAUCCGGACCGAAUGAUGCUUACGUUUUCGGUGUUCCCAUCUCCCAAGGUUUCUGAUACUGUUGUUGAGCCUUACAACGCGACACUCUCAGUUCAUCAGCUUGUGGAAAAUGCUGAUGAGUGUAUGGUUCUUGAUAACGAAGCUCUCUACGAUAUCUGUUUCCGUACCCUCAAGCUCACCACUCCAAGUUGUAAGUAUUUUUAUUUUUUUUUUGUUUUCUUGCUAAUGAAGCUUCUGAUUUGUUACUCUCGAACUACUUUUUGUGUUUGUUUGGCUGGUGAGAAAUGAAGUAGAAACUGUAAUUUGGGUUUUUAUAAUUUAUUUUGGUUUAAUGUGUUUAAUAUAGUAUUGUUUGGGCUACCAUUUAGAUAUUAAUUAGAUUGAUUUAGAUUGUAAGUGCGUUUGGUAUUUGAUUUAGUUGAAAAUUUCUAUUUUGUUAUGAUGAAUCCAAAACUAGGAACACAUGGAACUUAUUGUGUCCAUUUGUGAUUGAAUUAGCAUUUUCAAUUUAAGGUCUAGAACCUUCUCAUUUAGAUUCCAAUUUGUGAGAGUUAAAACAGUGAAGUAAUAGUCCAUCUUUCUGUGUAUUGAAGGUGAGGUGGAACUAAAAUAGUAGGAGCUACAUGAAUCUUAGAUUCUCUUCUCUGCCACUCUGCAAUGAAUGCAGUCGGGGUUGUAUAUACAAUAUAUGGAAUCUAACUUGUAAUGUUUGAUGUUCAGUUGGAGAUCUCAACCAUCUAAUUUCUGCCACCAUGAGUGGUGUAACAUGCUGCCUUCGCUUCCCUGGUCAGCUUAACUCGGAUCUCCGCAAACUUGCCGUAAACCUUAUUCCAUUCCCCCGACUACAUUUCUUCAUGGUGGGAUUUGCACCUCUCACCUCACGCGGUUCCCAACAGUACAGAGCCCUCACUGUCCCUGAACUUACACAGCAAAUGUGGGAUGCCAAGAACAUGAUGUGUGCAGCUGAUCCUCGAC
rnacentral:lncRNA from 1 species